rnacentral:rRNA from 1 species
CCAGACUCCUACGGGAGGCAGCAGCGGGGAAUAUUGGGCAAUGGGCGCAAGCCUGACCCAGCAACGCCGCGUGAAGGAAGAAGUAUUUCGGUAUGUAAACUUCUAUCAGCAGGGAAGAAAAUGACGGUACCUGACUAAGAAGCCCCGGCUAACUACGUGCCAGCAGCCGCGGUAAUACGUAGGGGGCAAGCGUUAUCCGGAUUUACUGGGUGUAAAGGGAGCGUAGACGGCGAUGCAAGCCAGAUGUGAAAGGCCGGGGCUCAACCCCGGGACUGCAUUUGGAACUGUGUGGCUGGAGUGUCGGAGAGGCAGGCGGAAUUCCUAGUGUAGCGGUGAAAUGCGUAGAUAUUAGGAGGAACACCAGUGGCGAAGGCGGCCUGCUGGACGAUGACUGACGUUGAGGCUCGAAAGCGUGGGGAGCAAACAGGAUUAGAUACCCGUGUAC